rnacentral:rRNA from 1 species
UGCGUAGGUGGUUUUGUAAGCGCGGGGUGAAAGGCAAUAGCUCAACUAUUGUAAGCCCUGCGAACUGUGAGACUUGAGUGCAGGAGAGGAAAGUGGAAUUCCUAGUGUAGCGGUGAAAUGCGUAGAUAUUAGGAGGAACACCAGUGGCGAAGGCGACUUUCUGGACUGUAACUGACACUGAGGCACGAAAGCGUGGGGAGCAAACAG